GUCUCUGUGGCGAAAUCGGUUAGCGCGUUCGACUGUUAACUGAAAGGUUGGUGGUUCAAGUCCACCCAGGGAUG
rnacentral:tRNA from 1 species